AAAUUGAAGAGUUUGAUCAUGGCUCAGAUUGAACGCUGGCGGCAGGCCUAACACAUGCAAGUCGAGCGGAAACGAGUUAACUGAACCUUCGGGGGACGUUAACGGCGUCGAGCGGCGGACGGGUGAGUAAUGCCUGGGAAAUUGCCCUGAUGUGGGGGAUAACCAUUGGAAACGAUGGCUAAUACCGCAUAAUAGCUUCGGCUU
rnacentral:rRNA from 1 species